CAUCACUACGCUAGAUGCAUAUCAAUAAGCGGAGGAAAAGAAACUAACAAGGAUUCCCCUAGUAACGGCGAGUGAAGCGGGAAGAGCUCAAAUUUGAAAUCUUCAAGGGUUUCCCUUGACGAAUUGUAGUUUAAAGAAGUGUUUUCUGUUAGAGAGGUGGCAAAAGUUCUUUGGAAUAGGACAUCAUAGAGGGUGAGAAUCCCGUAUUUGAUCACUUUCUACUAACGUUGUGAUACACUUUCAAAGAGUCGGAUUGUUUGGGAAUGCAGUCCAAAAUGGGUGGUAAAUUUCAUCUAAAGCUAAAUAUUGGCGAGAGACCGAUAGCGAACAAGUACCGUGAGGGAAAGAUGAAAAGAACUUUGAAAAGAGAGUUAAACAGUACGUGAAAUUGUCAAAAGGGAAGCGUUUGACACCAGUGUUGUUUUUCCGAAAAUCAAUUAAGAAUGGCCGGAUUUUAAGUUUCAUGACCUUAAAAGCUUGUUUCUUAUUUUUCUUGUCUUUCUUAAUGCACUUUUCGGUUAACAAGUCAACAUCAAUUUCUUUUGUUGUAAAAGGUUAAGAGGAAGGUGGCUUUACUUUCGGGUAAAGUGUUUAUAGCCUUUUAAUCUCUGCAAUCGGAGAGAUUGAGGUCUGCAGCGUAGAUCCUUCGGGGUUAGAUACAGUUGGUGCUAAGCUAUAGCCUUUUCAUAGACAACUUGUUGACUAUGCUCUAGUCAUGUAGCUUACUCGCAUGUGCUAUUUUACCUACGCUUAGGAUGUUGACACACGCGCGUGCUC
rnacentral:rRNA from 1 species